CCUAGGGGAGGCAGCAGUGGGGAAUAUUGGGCAAUGGGCGCAAGCCUGACCCAGCAACGCCGCGUGAAGGAAGAAGGCUUUCGGGUUGUAAACUUCUUUUCUCAGGGAUGAAGAAAGUGACGGUACCUGAGGAAUAAGCCACGGCUAACUACGUGACAGCAGCCGCGGUAAUACGUAGGUGGCAGGCGUUAUCCGGAUUUAUUGGGGGUAAAGGGCGUGUAGGCGGGAGCGCAAGUCAGAUGUGAAAACUGCGGGCGUAACCCUGAGCCUGCUGUUGAAACUGUGUGUCUUGAGUGCUGGAGCGGCAAGCGGAAUUCCGGGUGUAGCGGUGAAAUGCGUAGAUAUCCGGAGGAACACCAGUGGCGAAGGCGGAUUGCUGGACAGUAACUGACGCUGAGGCGCGAAAGCGUGGGGAGCAAACAGGAUUAGAUACCCGAGUAGUC
rnacentral:rRNA from 1 species